UGCACAAGAGCCGAUCAAUCGUUUCUGGAAUCAGACUACUAUAACGAAAUCUACAUUUCUUUGGUCCUGGUUCUAACCAACAAGCCGGCCCAAACCUCAAAGAAGGUGGAUUGGUUUCCGUAUCCGUGCAACCGUUCUUGCUCGUGGCCCUAAUCUGCUCCGACAGCCCCACCCCAGUCUCUCACUGUCAAACAUAUUUCUUUCUCUAGCAUCACUCCUAUCUUUUCACUGCGGCUGCUGCUAUGUCUUUUCUCUCUCGCCGCCUUUGAAAAAUAAAGAUUGGUAACUGCAUGAGAAAAGACUGGCCAAAUGAAAUAGUAAGACGUAUUUAAAGUUGACUCCGUGGACAGACCCUAAGUUUAAGUCGCAUAUAUAUCACCAACAACUUGGGGAGAGAGAGUUUGAUAAUGAGACGAAUGAGGGCUUCUCACACAAAGAGGGAGAGCGCAGGAAGAUGGACAGAGGAGACUGGGGAGACAGAGGAAAGGUGGCUCCAUGAAGACUUGCCACCACCAUGGUUCGUUCAUUUAGAUCUUUUAGCGACUCACCAACGAUAGUAGACAGCAACCUCAUGUCCGGUGGCGGCUCAGAUGAAGUAGCCAUUGGUGAAGCUGUGCCCCCUUCACUUCCCUUCUCUUUGCUCCUAUUCUCUCUUUCCACUAUCUUUUCAGUUUUCUUCUUUCUUCUUUCUUCUUGUUUUUAAGAUGAUGUGAUAUUGUGCAAGUCACACAGAAUUGAUUUUCAAUUCUCUCACAUUGUAUUUAUUUUCUGUAAUGUUUGUGAAUUGAAACGUUGUAGAGACGACUUUGUGUAUACCCAAUAUAUGUUGUGACUGUGUAAAUGACAAUGGAGUGUUUUGUGUGAUAAUUGUGAUGGUUGGGUAAAUGGAAGUGUGUAAAUGACAAUGAAGUGUUUGCAUGUGAUAAUGGUGAUGCUUGGGUACAUGUAAAAUAUUUGAUGUAGAAAAAAUAGUUAACAAUAAAGAACGAGUGAAUUGGAUUCUUUUCCUCAAAAGAAUGUUUUGCUCUUCUGUUGAGUGAUCACUGUUUUUUAUAGGUAAAGUUUGCAUCAAUGAUGCACAUGUAGGAGAGAAGAUUUUCAACUAUAGAUUGUCCAAAUUUCAAACACACUUCUUAAUUAUUUGAAUUUACAUUUAUUCUCUUUUAAUUAAUAGGUGCUUUAAUUAACUUUUGAAAUUUCCAUAUGUCACCAGCACGUGGUAAGACUUUGGAGACUUUCACCUUUUAUCACAUUUGGUGAUUUUUUAAUGCCAAUAUUUGAAGCACAUGUAGACAAAUGAGACCAAUUCCUAUCGCUUUAAGAAAGCAAACAAAAGCAUUAGGAAGAAGGCUAUCGUGACAUAUGGAGCUAUAUGCUGAAUUUAAAGGAAAAUAAAAAUGAUAAAAAAAGAAAAAGAAAAGUGAAACUAGAUAGACCAAACAAUGGGAACUUUUGGGCCAGAUACUAUUAGUUUUCUAAUCCAACUCUGCUUCCACUUGUUCUUUGUCUCACCCCACCGGAGAUCUCAUCACAAUUCCAUCUCUCAGCCUUGAGCAAUUGAGCCUUCAGGCUUUCACCAUUGCUGUUGUCGUUAGUUCUGCAGGACUGCAGUCGUGUAUGCGUCAAGCUCAUUAGGUACAGGCAUCUUGGAAUGGCUCAUUAGGUACAGGCAAUUGGUGCUUGCUUUCACUUUGGAUGGCUUGAAUUUGCUCAUGACAUUUUGGAUCAUGCAGAGGCUACUGGAUAUCCAAUGGACUGGGAUACAUAUAUGUUACUCUUGUCAGCAUAUUGUAGGCGCAGAAUGCAAAGAAUAGCAAAUGCACUACUAAAACAAAUGACAAGGGUUCAUUUGGAUAAUGAAUUGGCUAAUGAUACUAUCGACAAACACUUUCACUGUUUGGAAACAUCAGAUUCACUUGGUAAAUCGAAUUUGGUCGUCACCUUGGUUCAAAUAUUGAAGGAUGAAGAUCAAAUUUUUCCUUUGGUGUAUGAGUUUAAUUCUUCCAUCCACUUCUUUUGCAUGGCGAGAAUGAUGGAAGAUGCACUAAAGGUGUAUAGAAGGAUGGUUGAAAUGAACAUUCAGCCCACUAUUAAUACUUUUGCUUAUCUGCUAUGUGGAUAUUCAUCUCUUGGUAUGUAUUGCAAGAUCACAAUCUUGUGGGGGGAGAUUAAGAGAUUCAUGAAGGGUUGUGGUUUUCCGGCAAAUAGAGAUCUAUACGAGUUACUACGAAUAAACUUUUUUCGCGAUGGAUACUAAGACAUGGCUGAGGCCAAUGGUGGGUGGAAGCUCUUAAUUUUAUGUGCGUGAUAGGCGUUAUGAUAAGUGUUAUGAUAUUGUAAUUUCUAAGAUUGAGUACGGUCUAAUCCACCGUGACAAAAGAAGCUUAGGAUUCUGGUUAGCAUAUAAAGACCACUAAAAAAUUUUCAUUGGUA